rnacentral:lncRNA from 1 species
UACGGGGUUACAAUGUUUUGUUAAAAUACUUCAUAUAUUCACGAAAGGGGAGAGAAGGCAAUGCUCUCAAGUUUCCACAGACGCUGGCGCUUCUCAAAUUUUAUAGUUCAAAUUCUUCCUAGAGACGAAAGCAUCCACAGCAACAACGGCAGCGAUACUUGCACGUGGAUCAUAAUGCUAACCAUAAGCGACUCUCAGCCCUGCUCACCUCAUGAACAAACCGCUCCCGGUUUAUGUUAUCCUUGGAGAAACACAUCUUGGAAAGCAUGCAGGCACAGGGAACGCUGA